UACGGGGGGGUCAAGCGUUGUUCGGAAUUACUGGGCGUAAAGGGCUCGUAGGCGGCCAACUAAGUCAGACGUGAAAUCCCUCGGCUUAACCGGGGAACUGCAUCUGAUACUGGAUGGCUUGAGUUCGGGAGAGGGAUGUGGAAUUCCAGGUGUAGCGGUGAAAUGCGUAGAUAUCUGGAGGAACACCGGUGGCGAAGGCGGCAUCCUGGACCGACACUGACGCUGAGGAGCGAAAGCCAGGGGAGCAAACGGG
rnacentral:rRNA from 1 species